rnacentral:rRNA from 1 species
UACGUAGGGUGCAAGCGUUGUCCGGAAUUAUUGGGCGUAAAGAGCUCGUAGGCGGUUUGUCACGUCGGAUGUGAAAACUCGGGGCUCAACCCCGAGCCUGCAUUCGAUACGGGCAGACUUGAGUUCGGCAGGGGAGAUCGGAAUUCCUGGUGUAGCGGUGAAAUGCGCAGAUAUCAGGAGGAACACCGGUGGCGAAGGCGGAUCUCUGGGCCUUACCUGACGCUGAGGCGCGAAAGCUAGGGGAGCAAACAGG